GACGAACGCUGGCGGCGUGCUUAACACAUGCAAGUCGAACGGUAAGGCCCUUCGGGGUACACGAGUGGCGAACGGGUGAGUAACACGUGGGUGAUCUGCCCUGCACUUCGGGAUAAGCCUGGGAAACUGGGUCUAAUACCGGAUAGGACCACUGCCUGCAUGGGUGGUGGUGGAAAGCUUUUGCGGUGUGGGAUGGGCCCGCGGCCUAUCAGCUUGUUGGUGGGGUGAUGGCCUACCAAGGCGACGACGGGUAGCCGGCCUGAGAGGGUGACCGGACACACUGGGAAUGAGAUCCGGCCCAGAAUCCUACGGGAGGCAGGAGUGGGGAAUAUUGCACAAUGGGCGCAAGCCUGAUGCAGCGACGCCGCGUGAGGGAUGACGGCCUUCGGGUUGUAAACCUCUUUCAGCACCGACGAAGCGCAAGUGACGGUAGGUGCAGAAGAAGGACCGGCCAACUACGUGCCAGCAGCCGCCGUAA
rnacentral:rRNA from 1 species